UGUAAAAGCAACUUGUCAAUGUCAAAACACUGCACAAACAUCAUGAUUGCUACUGGGACAUGCUCAGAGAAUAGGACAUGGCUAACCAUCACGAUGAUAUCCGGGACCCCACCAGGGUCUUGUCCCAGGGGUAUUGUCCCAGAAACAGUAAGCUAUCGUCCCUGGGAAUCCAAGCCCUGCUUGUCUGCAUCCUGAUCCUGAAGCUUAGAAGAGCUUUCUACAGGAAGAGUUUUCUGACUUUCUAGUCUCUUCACACUCACUG
rnacentral:lncRNA from 1 species